rnacentral:rRNA from 1 species
AGAGUUUGAUCCUGGCUCAGAUUGAACGCUGGCGGCAUGCUUUACACAUGCAAGUCGAACGGCAGCACGGGGGCAACCCUGGUGGCGAGUGGCGGACGGGUGAGUAAUGCAUCGGAACGUGCCUAGUAGUGGGGGAUAACGCGUCGAAAGAUGUGCUAAUACCGCAUAAGCACUAUGGUGGAAAGCGGGGGAUCGCAAGACCUCGCGCUAUUAGAGCGGCCGAUGUCCGAUUAGCUAGUUGGUGAGGUAAAGGCCCACCAAGGCAACGAUCGGUAGCUGGUCUGAGAGGAUGAUCAGCCACACUGGGACUGAGACACGGCCCAGACUCCUACGGGAGGCAGCAGUGGGGAAUUUUGGACAAUGGGCGAAAGCCUGAUCCAGCCAUGCCGCGUGAGUGAAGAAGGCCUUCGGGUUGUAAAGCUCUUUCAGCCGGAACGAAAUCGUCCGGGCUAAUACUCCGGACGGAUGACGGUACUGGAAGAAGAAGCACCGGCUAACUACGUGCCAGCAGCCGCGGUAAU